GGACUACUCGGGUAUCUAAUCCUGUUUGAUACCCACACUUUCGUGCAUCAGUGUCAGAUCCGGCCCGGUAUGCUGCCUACGCUAUCGGGGUUCUUCGUAAUAUCUAUGCAUUUCACCGCUACACUACGAAUUCCGCAUACCUCGUACGGUCUCAAGUCCAGCAGUUUCAACGGCAAUGUCCCUGUUAAGCAGAGAGAUUUCACCGCUGACUUACUAAACCACCUACGCACCCUUUAAACCCAAUAAAUCCGGAUAACGCUCGCAUCCUCCGUAUUACCGCGGCUGCUGGCAC
rnacentral:rRNA from 1 species